UGUGUUCAGUUUUCUGCUUGUUUACUCUGGGGUUGUAAGUCUGCUCCUAGUUACUCCAUCAUGGCUGGAAGUUAAAAAUCUCACAUUGUGUUAAAUAGGAGAGUGACUGCUUGUGCCUGAUGACAGAGGGGGAGCGGGCGAGGAGGCUCCGUGGCGGCUGCUCGCUCCGGGCGAGCUCGGAGGCCGACGAAGGCAGUCCGAGGCCGGGCGUCCGUCCGCCCGCGGCCGGACACUGGAAGAGCCUCUUGGAGCUGGUUGUCUCUUCCCUUGAGUGAGGCGCUGCCCCUAACCUAAAGACAACAUGCUUGUGUUAUCAGUAACAUGUCUGGAGGGAGCUGUACACACACAAUGACUCUGUCUCUUUCACCCUGGGACCCGGGCCCUUGUUUCACCCAGAGUGAACUCCACAGGUGACCUGUAGAGACAUCAGAGGAAAUCACCUUCACAGUGGUUUUCCUUAUCAAGUUUUUUUCCUUUAUUUUUCAGAGAUGUAACUUUUCUACCCUACUGUUUCUCUCUCUUCAAACAUUCUCCUCAUUGUAAUUUGAGAAACAAAUGGAUUUGUUUUUUAUA